GAGAGAGAGAGAGAGAGAGAGAGAGAGAGAGAGAGAGAGAGAGAGAGAGAGAGACAGAGAGAGAGAGAGAGAGAGAGAAGGAAUCGAAAGACGAGACCAAUUUCGAAAAGUAAACUGUGGUGUCUUUGCUUCUGUUUUCUUUCGCUCCUGGCUGGGGAUGCUGACGGUGCUGAGGCUGUGGGUGGGUUGGUGCCGUGGGCGGUGGUGGGGCUCAGCUGAGGGGAGGACUGCAGCCUUAGCUUUGUCAGGAGCGUGACAACCUCGCGGGCGGGGACAAACACGCCUUAGGGAGCAAUUUCCACCUCAAUCUCCCAACCCUUAAUUACGUUUACGGAGUCUGAGCCUGUGUGACCUUCAUUGAGACUCCCGAGGCUCUUGAAAUGUCCCGAAAACCGCAGCGAAGUGAGACAUGCUGCAACGUGGGGAAGUACAGAGGAACGAAGAAACAAUAGAAACACAAAGAAGACAACAUAAAUCAAGACGAAACAUGUAAGAAAACCGGAAUAAUGGAAGAGAUAAGGAUAAAAACUUGUAUGUGAAUAAAAUGGCCUCUUGGAUGUCAACAUUUUCAUUGCGUUGGCCUAUUCGAGUGACAGAGCAGUGCGUCUUUCUGUGGUGGCGGGAAGGUGCUAAGACAAGAGGCGCGCGCUGCCACUACUACCACCGCCCACCACCACCACCGCUGCUCCCCACCCACGCACUGCAGCAGAGGGCGGCGGCGGCGGGUGGUGGCGGUGUUGGUGGAGGCGGAGUGGGUUCGGGCUAGGUAGAUAAUGAGGCAAGGUGAUCGUGAAGGAGUGAGGCAAGACAAGGCAAGACUCCCGCGAGGAUGUUAAUGAAGGAGCAAAUGAAGGCCGCGAAAUUAAUGUGCACAGCGAGACGCCUAAAGUGAAUAUUAACAAAGGCGAGACGCGAAUGUAUGAGUAAUGAAGAACAAAGAAGGACAUCCUGGAGGGCCUCGCUGAAGAAUUUGGCGAGUGUAGCAGGAUUAGGGAGCCAAGAAGGACUUAUGAUAGGAUACUAGCAAAGAAAAACACUAGAAAAGGAAAACAUGCAGUGUAGGAAUAAAUUAAUUGCAAGAAGGACAUCCUGGAGGGCCGCGCUGAAGAACUUGGCGGGUGUAGCAGGAUUAGGGAGCCAAGAAGGACUUACAAUAGGAUACUAGCAACGGAAAUAGAAAAAAAAAAGUGUAAAAAUAAAUUAAUUGCAAGAAGGACUUCCUGGAGGGCCUCGCUGAAGGACUUAAUGAUUGUAGCAGGAUUACGGCACCAAGAAGGACUUAUGAUUGGAUACUAGCAACGAAAAAGACAGUGAAGGAAUAAGAUAACUGACUAAAAAAUACAUCCUACAGGAGUAUUUUGAAGGAUUUACUCGAAUAUACUAACAAAGAAAAUGAUAGGAAUAAAACAAUAGACAAAGAAAGACAUCCAGAAUAGCCUCCGGUGAAAGAGUUGAAGUGGGAAGAAAAUAAUUUUAAGCCACUUUGAGUAAAAUUCCAAGUACCAUAAAAAAGAAACGAACGUGUGGAAGAAGAAAAAAGAAAGAGACACGCCAAA
rnacentral:lncRNA from 1 species